AGGUGCCUCCAGUGGGUGAAAGCCUUGAAAAUUGGCUUUCAAAAGCAUACUCAAGCCAUCUGUAGUGACCACUUUGAUGGGGUUCAUUUUGGCAGCAAGGGCCAGCUGCUGCCGACUGCAACCCCACGUCACACAGAUGGCCAUGAGGAGCAACCACCCACUGGGUUCCCGGCAUCAUCCCACAAUGCAGCCGCCAUUGACUUGGAGCCAAUGGAGUUGGAACUCUCCUCUACACAGAUUGUGCUGCCACAUUAUG